rnacentral:rRNA from 1 species
GAUGAACGCUGGCGGCGUGCCUAAUACAUGCAAGUCGAGCGAACGGACGAGAAGCUUGCUUCUCUGAUGUUAGCGGCGGACGGGUGAGUAACACGUGGAUAACCUACCUAUAAGACUGGGAUAACUUCGGGAAGCCGGAGCUAAUACCGGAUAAUAUUUUGAACCGCAUGGUUCAAAAGUGAAAGACGGUCUUGCUGUCACUUAUAGAUGGAUCCGCGCUGCAUUAGCUAGUUGGUAGGGUAACGGCUUACCAAGGCAACGAUGCAUAGCCGACCUGAGAGGGUGAUCGGCCACACUGGAACUGAGACACGGUCCAGACUCCUACGGGAGGCAGCAGUAGGGAAUCUUCCGCAAUGGGCGAAAGCCUGACGGAGCAACGCCGCGUGAGUGAUGAAGGUCUUCGGAUCGUAAAACUCUGUUAUUAGGGAAGAACAUAUGUGUAAGUAACUGUGCACAUCUUGACGGUACCUAAUCAGAAAGCCACGGCUAACUACGUG